rnacentral:rRNA from 1 species
UACGUAGGGUGCAAGCGUUGUCCGGAAUUAUUGGGCGUAAAGAGCUCGUAGGCGGUUUGUUGCGUCGGCUGUGAAAUCCCGAGGCUCAACCUCGGGUCUGCAGUCGAUACGAGCAAACUAGAGUGUUGCAGGGGAGACUGGAAUUCCUGGUGUAGCGGUGAAAUGCGCAGAUAUCAGGAGGAACACCGGUGGCGAAGGCGGGUCUCUGGGCAACAACUGACGGCUGAGGAAGCGGAAAGCCAGGGGAGCAAACGGG